ACUAAAUGUAGUAGUCACGGUCCUCUGAUACACAAUAUCAAGGGCUAAGAGGGAAGCCGGUGCGCACACAGCCAAACCGGCGCUGCCCCCGCAACUGUGAGCGGCGAGCGUUCGUCCACAUCAAGUCACUGGGACCGACAGGCCCCGGGAAGACCGGACGGAACCGCGAAGACCCGCGAGCCAGGAGACCUGCCGUGACUGCACGAACGUU
rnacentral:ncRNA from 2 species